GACGAACGCUGGCGGCGUGCCUAAUACAUGCAAGUCGAACGCAGUGGGGACGGGUGAGUAACAUGUGGGUAACCUCCCAUCAGAGGGGAUAACACUUGGAAACAGGUGUUAUACCCAUACUGUUGGAUGGACCCGCGGUGCAUGAGCUAGUUGGUGGGGUAACGGCUCACCAAGGGCACGAUGCAUAGCCGACCUGGGAGGGUGACCAGCCACACUGGGACUGAGACACGGCCCAGACUCCUACGGGAGGCAGCAGUGGGGAAUAUUCGGCAAUGGACGAAAGUCUGAUCGAGCAACGCCGCGUGAGUGAAGAAGGUUUUCGGGUCGUAAAGCUCUGUUGUUGGAGAAGCGGUAUCUGACCAAAAAGCACCGGCUAACUACGUGCCAGCAGCCGCGGUAAUAC
rnacentral:rRNA from 1 species